AUUGAACGCUGGCGGCAGGCCUAACACAUGCAAGUCGAGCGGAGCGGCGGACGGGUGAGUAAUGCCUAGUAAUCUGCCUGGUAGUGGGGGAUAACGUCCGGAACCGGGCGCUAAUACCGCAUACUAGCAGAUGAGCCUAGGUCGGAUUAGCUAGGUGGUGGGGUACAGGCCUACCAAGGCGACGAUCCGUAACUGGGCUGAGAGGAUGAUCAGUCACACUGGAACUGAGACACGGGCCAGACUCCUACGGGAGGCAGCAGUGGGGAAGAUGGGACAAUGGGCGAAAGACGGAUCCAGCCAUGGCGCGUGUGUGAAGAAGGUGUUCGGAUUGUAAAGCACUUUAAGUUGGGAGGCGUUACCAACAGAAUAAGCACCGGCUAACUUCGUGCCAGCAGCCGCGGUAAUUG
rnacentral:rRNA from 1 species